GUUGGAAAAUGGAAAGCAAAGUCAACUGGUGUCUACAACCCUCACCACAAUACUGCCUGCUCCAGACCAGAUUAAUGUUGACUCAGUGGACACCACAUCAGCUGCUGUUAGCUGGAGCCAGCCACCAGGAUUAGACCAAACCCAACAUCAUUACCCGAUCUCCUACCACUGUCCAGUACUGCCUGCUCCAGACCAGAUUAAUGUUGACUCAGUAGGCACCACAUCAGCUGCUGUUAGCUGGAGCCAGCCACCAGGAUUAGACCAAACCCAACAUCAUUACCCGAUCUCCUACCACUGUCCAGGUACUUAACCACACAUCACUACCAUAUCUUCACACAGUAUCACUCUCUCUGACCUGCAACCUGCUACUGAAUACUCUGUCACUGUCUGCACUGAGUUGGAAAAUGGAAAGCAAAGUCUACUGGUGUCUACAACCCUCACCACAAUACUGCCUGCUCCAGACCAGAUUAAUGUUGACUCAGUGGACACCACAUCAGCUGCUGUUAGCUGGAGCCAGCCACCAGGAUUAGACCAAACCCAACAUCAUUACCAGAUCUCCUACCACUGUCCAGGGACAGAACCACACAUCACUACCACAUCUUCACACAGUAUCAUUCUCUCUGACCUGCAACCUGCUACUGAAUACUCUGUCACUGUCUGCACUGAGUUGGAAAAUGGAAAGCAAAGUCUACUGGUGUCUACAACCCUCACCACAAUACUGCCUGCUCCAGACCAGAUUAAUGUUGACUCAGUGGACACCACAUCAGCUGCUGUUAGCUGGAGCCAGCCACCAGGAUUAGACCAAACCCAACAUCAUUACCAGAUCUCCUACCACUGUCCAGGGACAG